rnacentral:lncRNA from 1 species
UGCUGUCUUGCUGCAUCUAAUGCUUCUUGAAAAUUUAUAAAGCCUUUGUAAAGAGGGUCUGAAAUUCAUAAAAUAUAUUAUGUAAUAUAGCCAAAUUUUGUAAGUACAAUUGAAAUAAUUGAGGAAGUGGAAUGCAAUUAGUACCUAAUUUCACAUUGUCUCUAUAGAUAUUUUAGAUUCUUCUUGGAUUGAUAGUUUUACCUCUUAUAUAGGUGAGAAGCUUCAAUGCAACCUACAAAUAUCAUGGAUACAUGUAUGCAUUCAACAAACAUAUACUAUUGGCAUCCAGAAAAAGUUCAUGUAUGCUCUUGUUUGAACCCCAUUUUGGGCAAAAGAAUGAAUUUUAAAUAUUAGAUUAAUGAAGAAUGUGUGGUUAAAAAUUAAGAAAAUAUUUUGGGUUUGCAUGUAAUAUUAUUUUAUUAAAGAUUGUGUGGUUGAAAAUGAGUUUUAAAAAAAUGAAUUUUUAGAAGAAUCUCAAACAAGGGCUAUACGUGACUCUUAUCUUUGACCGAGGCCCUCUUACUAUUUGAGGUGUACUUCUUCAACUAAAGUCCUUCUUUAAAGUCUCUUUUACACUAGAAGAACGCAUAAUUUCUAUGGAGGUCUCUUGUGAAAUUCUUGCUAGAAUGCAUGUUAGAAGCCCCUUUUAGUGAUCUAGCAGAUUUUCAACGUUUUUUAGUCAAAUCGAGUAAAAUAUAGUUUGUGAAGUUUUACCACCCUAUAAGCAAGAUUAGAAUUGUGGAGCAGAGCAAGUGGUAAUAAUUUCAAUGGUUGACUAAAUCUCCAUUUUGUGAGCCAGAGGAAGAGAAGAAGUUAACCCCCUUCUUCCCUUAAUUUGGUUCUGACUAUUCCUCGUCACCUACCAAGCAAUUUCAAUAUUAGUUCAAUGCUGAAGAUUAUAAAGGUAAAUGUUACAAAAAAAUUUUAACUAAAAAUUUAAUAUUUAAUUUUAAAAUAGGAUAUUCAAAAUGAGGAACAUGUUAAUAAGCACUCAAUGAAAACUAGAACCAAAAGGGGAUGCAAAGAACAAAGCCAUAAUAUUUUCAAUCAAAUUGUCAAUUUGUCAUCACAAGUUUUUUUAGGGAGAGAAGCGUCGCUGACUUAGUUUCUUCAAUUUGCCGAAGUAAUUUUUUCCAUUUCUCUACCUAGUUAGAGAUAUUCACAUACUAUAGAAAGUUGGUAUUUCUCUUCAGUUUCAUUUUAUUAGAACUCGGGUGGAAACUAGGGCUAAUAGUAUUACAUUAAAUUGCAGAAAAAAAUUAUCAGCUUUCAUCGAUCCAAAGCGAGAUGAGACCUUCAUUAUUAACAUAAUGUUUUGAAAUUCAAGAAAAGCAUAAAUCUGCAAACGAGAUGUUCAUUAAUAACGAACCGGCAAUGAGGUUAGCCUUACAGAUUCAAGAGACCUUCUAUAAUAAAUUUUGUCGGCUUUCAUCAACCCAGGGCCGUGUUCAGCAUUGAUGCUACCACGGUGCUUCGAUGUCUAAACCUUAAUCUUACCGUAGAUCUAUGAUAUUCCGAUAGAUCUACCCGUACAACACAAUAAAUGAACUGAUAGUAACCAAUAAACGAAUUUAUAGCAACCACAUAACCCAAUUAGCAUUUCACAAUAUUCCCCUACAAAUCAGUAAUAACCCAACAAAUAAAAAUUAAUAAACCAUACCUCUGGACUUUCUCUGGAUCUGAAUUGGUUCGUUAGAUUAGUGGGCUCGAUGGCUGAUGUCUCAUUGAAGGCAGCGGGACGGUAAUUUGGUGGUGGAACAAAGCAGAGUAGAAGAAGAAAGGAAAUUUGGGGAAGAAAAUAAAAUGUGGGGAAGACAAGAAAAAAUAAAACAAAAGGAAAAUAGAUGAAAAUGAAAAAGAAAAAGAAAAAGAAAGAAAAGGAAAGGAAAAUGAAAGAAAAAAAGAAAAAUUUUCCAGCUAAUUAUUAGCCCACGAAGAAGUUUAAUAUUUUUGUCAACAAAAAACAUAUGUUUCCCAUCAAAUUUUUUGUCCAGAAAAAUUAUAAACUUUUGUGGGAACAAGUCCUC